GUUGAUUGGCUACCGUGCUGAAGGUGCUCACAGGAUGCUUGUGUAUGAGUAUGUUGACAACGGAAACCUGGAACAAUGGCUUCAUGGAGAUGUCGGGCCUCUCAGCCCUCUGACAUGGGAGAAUCGCAUGAAUAUAAUACUUGGGACAGCGAAAGGGUUGACAUACUUGCAUGAGGGACUAUAU